rnacentral:rRNA from 1 species
GGGGGAAUAUUGGGCAAUGGGCGCAAGCCUGACCCAGCAACGCCGCGUGAAGGAAGAAGGCCCUCGGGUUGUAAACUUCUUUUUGUCAGGGACGAAGAAAGUGACGGUACCUGACGAAUAAGCCACGGCUAACUACGUGCCAGCAGCCGCGGUAAUACGUAGGUGGCAAGCGUUAUCCGGAUUUACUGGGUGUAAAGGGCGUGUAGGCGGGACUGCAAGUCAGAUGUGAAAACCAGAGGCUCAACCUCUGGCCUGCAUUUGAAACUGUAGUUCUUGAGUGCCGGAGAGGUAAGCGGAAUUCCUAGUGUAGCGGUGAAAUGCGUAGAUAUUAGGAGGAACACCAGUGGCGAAGGCGGCUUACUGGACGGUAACUGACGUUGAGGCUCGAAAGCGUGGGGAGCAAACAGGAUUAGAUACCC